UAGCAGAAGAUUAAAGGCUGGAUUCUUGCCGCUCUGGGUGAGCACCGUGCAGCACCCUGUUGAAUGAUACAAACACUUUCUAGGGGGUGGGACACUCUGUGAAGAGAGGAGCUGUUUGUGCUCAGAGCCCCAGCACAGAGCAGAACAUCCUCAGAGCCACAGCACAGAGCAGAAUAUACUCAGAGCCCCAGCACAGAACAGAACAUCCUCAGAGCCCCAGCACAGAGCAUCCCCAGCACAGAGCAUCCCCAGCACAGAACAGAACAUCCCCAGCACAGAGCAUCCCCAGCACAGAACAUGCCCAGCACAGAACAGAAUAUCCUCAGAGCCCCAGCACAGAACAUCCCCAGCACAGAAUAGAAUAUCCUCAGAGCCCCAGCACAGAGCAUCCCCAGCACAGAACAGAGCAACCCAGCACAGAACAGAACAUCCCCAGCAUAGAACAUGCCCAGCACAGAACAGAAUAUCCUCAGAUCCCCAGCACAGAGCAUCCCCAGCACAGAACAGAAUAUCCUCAGAUCCCCAGCACAGAGCAUCCCCAGCACAGAACAGAAUAUCCUCAGAUCCCCAGCACAGAGCAUCCCCAGCACAGAACAGAAUAUCCUCAGAUCCCCAGCACAGAGCAUCCCCAGCACAGAACAGAAUAUCCUCAGAUCCCCAGCACAGAGCAUCCCCAGCACAGAACAGAAUAUCCUCAGAUCCCCAGCACAGAGCAUCCCCAGCACAGAACAGAAUAUCCUCAGAUCCCCAGCACAGAGCAUCCCCAGCACAGAACAGAAUAUCCUCAGAUCCCCAGCACAGAGCAUCCCCAGCACAGAACAGAAUAUCCUCAGAUCCCCAGCACAGAGCAUCCCCAGCACAGAACAGAAUAUCCUCAGAUCCCCAGCACAGAGCAUCCCCAGCACAGAACAGAAUAUCCUCAGAUCCCCAGCACAGAGCAUCCCCAGCACAGAACAGAGCAUCCCCAGCACAGAACAUCCCCAGAGCCCUGGGUCACAGUGAGAGCUGUGUGGCAUCCCCCCCCUCCAAGAGCCACAUUCCAGGUGGGAACCACACCUGACCCUCCAGUGUCCCAAUUCCAG
rnacentral:lncRNA from 12 species